AUGAUGGAAGAAGAGAUAAAGGAGCCAAAAGAGGAGGCAACAGAGGAAACAGAAGAGAAGGAGAAGGCAACUGAGCAAGCAGAAGAAGGAUUCAACAGAGAAGGGCAGUCAGAGGAAUACAAACUGAAGAGCUCAGCAUGCUACUUCCCUCCCUUUCAGAACAACUGUGACAAGCGCAGCACAGACCAAAGAGGAUAUUCACAAUACUUUGGCAGUGGGACAAAACUCACAGUCCUAGGGAAGGACGAUGAAAUGAUACCUCCAGCUGUGGCCAUCUUUUCCCCAUCAAAGCAAGAGAUCCAACAGAAGAGCAAGGCCACACUGGUAUGCCUGGCCUCUGGUUUCUAUCCUGACCACCUGAAUCUGGUUUGGAAGGUGAAUGGUGCUAAAAGGACAGAAGGGGUGGGAACAGAUGAGUUUUCUACACGGAAUGAGAGUACCUACUCAUUGACCAGCCGACUGAGGAUCUCAGCCCAGGAAUGGUUCAACCCUUUGAACCGUUUUGAGUGUGUUGCCGAAUUUUUUCAGAAUGAAACACUGGAAUCAAUACAGAAAUUCAUCUACGGUGAUGCUGGUUGUGCAGUCACGGAAGAGUCCUACUUGCGGUAUGGAAAUUCUCUGAAGCUCACUUACCUCCUCCUCUGUGGCAAAGCCUUGAUCUAUGCAGUUUUGGUGAGCAGCCUGGUGUGGACAGCCAAG